UAGGUCCAUACCUCUUCAAACUGGGCAUC
rnacentral:piRNA from 1 species